UCAGAUUGAACGCUGGCGGCAGGCCUAACACAUGCAAGUCGAGCGGUAGCACAGAGAGCUUGCUCUCGGGUGACGAGCGGCGGACGGGUGAGUAAUGUCUGGGAAACUGCCUGAUGGAGGGGGAUAACUACUGGAAACGGUAGCUAAUACCGCAUAAUGUCGCAAGACCAAAGUGGGGGACCUUCGGGCCUCAUGCCAUCAGAUGUGCCCAGAUGGGAUUAGCUAGUAGGUGGGGUAACGGCUCACCUAGGCGACGAUCCCUAGCUGGUCUGAGAGGAUGACCAGCCACACUGGAACUGAGACACGGUCCAGACUCCUACGGGAGGCAGCAGUGGGGAAUAUUGCACAAUGGGCGCAAGCCUGAUGCAGCCAUGCCGCGUGUGUGAAGAAGGCCUUCGGGUUGUAAAGCACUUUCAGCGGGGAGGAAGGCGUUAAGGUUAAUAACCUUGGCGAUUGACGUUACCCGCAGAAGAAGCACCGGCUAACUCCGUGCCAGCAGCCGCGGUAAUACGGAGGGUGCAAGCGUUAAUCGGAAUUACUGGGCGUAAAGCGCACGCAGGCGGUCUGUCAAGUCGGAUGUGAAAUCCCCGGGCUCAACCUGGGAACUGCAUUCGAAACUGGCAGGCUAGAGUCUUGUAGAGGGGGGUAGAAUUCCAGGUGUAGCGGUGAAAUGCGUAGAGAUCUGGAGGAAUACCGGUGGCGAAGGCGGCCCCCUGGACAAAGACUGACGCUCAGGUGCGAAAGCGUGGGGAGCAAACAGGAUUAGAUACCCUGGUAGUCCACGCCGUAAACGAUGUCGAUUUGGAGGUUGUGCCCUUGAGGCGUGGCUUCCGGAGCUAACGCGUUAAAUCGACCGCCUGGGGAGUACGGCCGCAAGGUUAAAACUCAAAUGAAUUGACGGGGGCCCGCACAAGCGGUGGAGCAUGUGGUUUAAUUCGAUGCAACGCGAAGAACCUUACCUGGUCUUGACAUCCACAGAACUUUCCAGAGAUGGAUUGGUGCCUUCGGGAACUGUGAGACAGGUGCUGCAUGGCUGUCGUCAGCUCGUGUUGUGAAAUGUUGGGUUAAGUCCCGCAACGAGCGCAACCCUUAUCCUUUGUUGCCAGCGGUUCGGCCGGGAACUCAAAGGAGACUGCCAGUGAUAAACUGGAGGAAGGUGGGGAUGACGUCAAGUCAUCAUGGCCCUUACGACCAGGGCUACACACGUGCUACAAUGGCAUAUACAAAGAGAAGCGACCUCGCGAGAGCAAGCGGACCUCAUAAAGUAUGUCGUAGUCCGGAUUGGAGUCUGCAACUCGACUCCAUGAAGUCGGAAUCGCUAGUAAUCGUAGAUCAGAAUGCUACGGUGAAUACGUUCCCGGGCCUUGUACACACCGCCCGUCACACCAUGGGAGUGGGUUGCAAAAGAAGUAGGUAGCUUAACCUUCGGGAGGGCGCUUACCACUUUGUGAUUCAUGACUGGGGUGAAGUCUAAAAGG
rnacentral:rRNA from 1 species